rnacentral:rRNA from 1 species
GAUGAACGCUGACAGAAUGCUUAACACAUGCAAGUCAACUUGAACUUCGGUUUGGGUGGCGGACGGGUGAGUAACGCGUAAAGAACUUGCCUCACAGCUAGGGACAACAUUUGGAAACGAAUGCUAAUACCUGAUAUUAUGAUUUUAGGGCAUCCUAGAAUUAUGAAAGCUAUAUGCGCUGUGAGAGAGCUUUGCGUCCCAUUAGCUAGUUGGAGAGGUAACGGCUCACCAAGGCGAUGAUGGGUAGCCGGCCUGAGAGGGUGAACGGCCACAAGGGGACUGAGACACGGCCCUUACUCCUACGGGAGGCAGCAGUGGGGAAUAUUGGACAAUCGACCAAGAGUCUGAUCCAGCAAUUCUGUGUGCACGAUGAAGUUUUUCGGAAUGUAAAGUGCUUUCAGUUGGGAAGAAAAAAAUGACGGUACCAACAGAAGAAGUGACGGCUAAAUACGUG